rnacentral:tRNA from 1 species
CGGGACGUGGCGCAGCUUGGUAGCGCAUCCGCUUUGGGAGCGGAGGGUCGCAGGUUCAAAUCCUGUCGUCCCGACCG